UCUAGGAGCAACUUGAGGAACUAGACAAUACAUUUAGCUAGUAAACAACCCACUUGAAGGAGUUGGUGAAGAGCACAAUCUCGAUCAAAGAUUGGAAUUCUAGACACUUCACUUGAGGUUCUGAAACGCAUGAAGUCUUGGA